UUGUGGGAGGAGUCAUUUGGAAUGUUUUGAGUGAAAUACAAUCCCUAGAACUAUACAAUACACCAACCACUCCAUUUCAGAACGAACUUCGUACGAACCUGAAUUGUCAACUUUCGUGGACCGAUCGAUAUCGGAUUGAGUCCAAAACUUGGGGAACAUCAUAAUAUUUUGGGAGGAGUCAUUUGGUACAUUUUGAGUGAAAUCCAACCUCUAGAACUAUACAAUGCACCAACCACCCCAUUUCAGAACGAAUUUCGUAGGAAACUGAAUUGUCCGAUUUUAAGGACCAAUUGAUAUCGGAUUGAGUCCAAAACUUGGGGAACUGUCGUGGGAGGAGUCAUUUGGUGGGUUUUGAGUGAAAUCCAAUCUCUAGAACUAUACAAUACACCAAUCACCCCAUUUCAGAACGAACUUCGUACGAAUAUGAAUUGUCCGAUUUCAAGGACCAAUCGAUAUCGGACAGAGUCCAAAAGUUGGGGAACGUCAUAAUAUCGUGGGAGGAGUCAUUUGGUGGGUUUUGAGUGAACUCCAAUCUCUAGACCUAUACAAUACACCAACCUCCUCAUUUCAGAACGAACUUCGUUCGAACAUGAAUUGUCCGAUUUCAAGGACCAAUUGAUAUCGGACUUAGUCCAAAACUUGGGGAACAUCAUAAUCUUGUGGGAGGAGUCAUUUGGUGGUUUUGAGUGAAAUCCAAUCCCUAGAACUAUACAAUACACCAACCACCCCAUUUCAGAAUGAACUUUCGUAGGAACCUGAAUUGUCCGAUUUCAAGGACCAAUCGAUAUCGGACUGAGUCCAAAAGUUGUGGAACAUAAUAAUAUUGUGGCAGGAGUCAUUUGGUGGGUUUUGAGUGAAAUCCAAUCUUUAGAAUUAUACAAUACACCAACCACCCCAUUUCAGAAUGAACUUCGUAGGAACCUGAAUUGUCCGAUUUCAAGGACCAAUCUAUAUCGGACAGAGUCCGAAAGUUGGGGAACAUCAUAAUAUUGUGGGAGGAGUCAUUUGGUGGGUUUUGAGUGAAAUCCAAUCUCUAGACCUAUACAAUACACCAACCUCCUCAUUUCAGAACGAACUUCGUACGAACUUGAAUUGUCCGAUUUCAAGGACCAAUUGAUAUCGGAUUGAGUCCAAAACUUGGGGAACAACAUAAUCUUGUGGGAGGAGUCAUUUGGUGGGUUUUGAGUGAAAACCAAUCUCUAGAACUAGACAAUACACCAACCACCCCAUUUCAGAAUGAACUUUGUAGGAACCUGAAUUGUCCGAUUUCAAGGACCAAUCGAUAUCAGAUUGAGUCCAAAACUUCGGGAACAUCAUAAUAUUGUGGGACGAGUCAUUUGGUAAGUUUUGAGUGAAAUAGAAUCCAAAGAACCAUACAAUACACCACCCACUCCAUUUCAGAACGAACUUCGUACGAACCUGAAUUGUCAAAUUUCGUGGACCGAUCGAUAUCGGAUUGAGUCCAAAACUUGGGAAGCAUCGAAAUCUUGUGGGAGGAGACAUUUGGUGGGUUUUGAGUGAAAUCCAAUCUCUAGAACUAUACAAUACACCAACCACCCUAUUUCAGAACGAACUUCGUACGAACCUGAAUUGUUCGAUUUC
rnacentral:lncRNA from 1 species